GCUUAGAUGCUAAAGAGAAGGCAUAUGCUCUGAAGACUCAGCACACUACGAAUGAUGCUCUGUGUUUUGAGCGCAGUGCUACCCGAACUUGCCAGAAAGAGAGAAAACAGCAGAGCGGGAGAAUCACAGUACCCCACCCCACAGGGAUCACUCACACCCCCCAGAGACGCCAGGAAGAGAAAAUGCACAAAGUGAUAAACUGCAUGUUACAAGGGUUGGGUUUUUUUCUCCCUCUUGACACAAGAGGGGCAAAACCAACAAAUGCCAUUUAUUGAGGACUUACUACAUAUUAGGAACUCUGUGCACUAUCUCAUCAAGAUUCAUAGCAACUCUUCAAAGUGGAUAUUAUCACCCCUGCUUUACAGAGUUUCGGGUACAUAACCAGAAUAUAGUGGGAGUUCCGAUUUAGUGAAAUUUAACUUCAUACUGCUAGACCUGGCAUUGCAAAGUCACCUGCAGAAAUGACCUGGGUCUGAUCUGGAAGCACCGAUAACAUCCAAUGUUUUCCUUUGAAGUAACCUGGGGAUGUUCUUCCACCCGAGGUUAGAAGCUAUUUCUUGUGUAAGUUUUGCACUAAACACAGGGUUUGCUGGGAGCCAUUUGACACACCCCUGCCUCCUGCAUUACUGGGAUUGUUGUCUGCCUUUCUAGCUAAGGAUUUUACCAGCCAUAAUUACCCAGAUUUCCUUUCUUACCAUCUCUGUGUGUUCUAAGAAGAGCCAAUGGCCAACCAAUCCUGAAGGAGAUGUUAUGAAGCUUCGGCAUGGUCGAUAGUAGAAAAAAAUGUAGACAUGGUCCUCACAAGGGUCCACCUUGACAACCUUCCCCUCUAAGUACUUUCUCAGUCAAUGGAGUAGUUAUAUUUGGUACCACUCAGUCUCUAACCUUUCAUUGUUUAUUCCUCCCUUCCUGUUUCUAUAAAUUAGAAGGGAAAAUUAGACUGUCAGGUGGAUGAAAGCUUUUUAAAUUCGUUUUUACUCCCUAUUCUUUUUGUCAUUUAUCUAGUUAGGAAAAAAAUGUAUUCAAGA